rnacentral:rRNA from 1 species
UACGUAGGUGGCAAGCGUUGUCCGGAUUUACUGGGCGUAAAGAGCGCGCAGGCGGUCGGAUAAGUCGAAUGUGAAAGCCCCCGGCUCAACUGGGGAGGGUCAUUCGAUACUGUUCGACUCGAAGGCAGGAGAGGGAAGUGGAAUUCCCGGUGUAGUGGUGAAAUGCGAUAGAUAUCGGGAGGAACACCAGUGGCGAAGGCGACUUCCUGGCCUGUUCUUGACGCUGAGGCGCGAAAGCUAGGGGAGCAAACGGG